AUACAAACAGAGGAUAGUAUUG
rnacentral:snRNA from 1 species